rnacentral:rRNA from 1 species
CAGCCCUAAACGAUGCGCGUUAGGUGUAUCGGUGACCACGAGUCACCGAGGUGCCGAAGGGAAACCGUGAAACGUGCCGCCUGGGAAGUACGGUCGCAAGGCUGAAACUUAAAGGGAAUUGGCGGGGGAGCACCACAACGGGUGGAGCCUGCGGUUUAAUUGGACUCAACUCCGGGAAGCUCACCGGAUAAGACAGCUGAAUGAUAGUCGGGAUGAAGACUCUACUUGACUAGCUGAGAGGUGGUGCAUGGCGUAGUCGUGU